rnacentral:rRNA from 1 species
AACCUUUUUCAUCACGAACUAGAAUUUUUAUUUUUAGAAACAUAAUAUGAAACCCACUUGAGCGAGAGUAGUACUAGGAUGGGUGACCUCCUAGGAAGUCCUCGUGAAAGGGUUU